UAGGAUUUGAUUAGGGUUUAGGGUUAGGUUUUGGUUAUAAUUUGGUUAGGAUUUAGAGUUAGGAUUUGAUUAGGAUUUGACUAGGAUUUAUUUAGGAUUUGACUAGGAUUUGUUUAAGAUUUGACUAGGGUUUGUUUAGGGUUUGGAAUUGAUUAGGAUUUUUUAGGGUUAGGAUUUGUCUAAGAUUUGACUAGGAUAUAUUUAGGAUUUAGGGUUUAUAUAGGGUUUGAUUAAGUUUGGAUUAGGAUCACGGUUUGGUUUGAAUUUAAGAUUCAUUUAGAUUUUUGUUAGGGUUUGAUUAAGUUUUCUUUAAUAUUCUUUUAUAUUUCUUUAGGAUUUCUUUGUGUUUCUUUUAUAACUUCAAUAAAAUUUAAUUGAGCUUGCUUAAUGUUUGAUUAUGAUUUUUAACGUUUAAUUGUAAUUUCGCUAUAAUCCUAUUGGAUUGUUAGGACCUUUUGUUGCAAUUUUCUUUUACCUUCCAUAGCCAGGUGCCCGAUGCAUUCUCAAGCAAGACUUCACGUAAUACAACAACGUUACUUUAAUUCAAUGACAAUA
rnacentral:lncRNA from 1 species